AAGUCGGACGGGAUUGAGGUAGWAGCUUGCUUUGAUUUGAUGAGAGUGGCGCACGGGUGCGUAACGCGUGAGCAACCUACCCAUAUCAGGGGGAUAGCCUCUCGAAAGAGAGAUUAACACCGCAUAACAUCAUUAACCGGCAUCGGAUUAUGAUCAAAUAUUUAUAGGAUAUGGAUGGGCUCGCGUGACAUUAGCUAGUUGGAGAGGUAACGGCUCACCAAGGCUACGAUGUCUAGGGGCUCUGAGAGGAGAAUCCCCCACACUGGUACUGAGACACGGACCAGACUCCUACGGGAGGCAGCAGUAAGGAAUAUUGGUCAAUGGAGGCAACUCUGAACCAGCCAUGCCGCGUGCAGGAUGACUGCCCUAUGGGUUGUAAACUGCUUUUGUCAGGGAAUAAACCUUUCUACGUGUAGAAAGCUGAAUGUACCUGAAGAAUAAGGAUCGGCUAACUCCGUGCCAGCAGCCGCGGUAAUACGGAGGAUCCAAGCGUUAUCCGGAUUUAUUGGGUUUAAAGGGUGCGUAGGCGGUCCUAUAAGUCAGUGGUGAAAGACGGCAGCUUAACUGUCGCAGUGCCUUUGAUACUGUAGGACUUGAAUCUAUUUGAAGUGGGCGGAAUAAGACAAGUAGCGGUGAAAUGCAUAGAUAUGUCUUAGAACUCCGAUUGCGAAGGCAGCUCACUAAGUUAGUAUUGACGCUGAUGCACGAAAGCGUGGGGAUCAAACAGGAUUAGAUACCCUGGUAGUCCACGCCCUAAACGAUGAUAACUCGAUGUUUGCGAUACACAGUAAGCGUCCAAGCGAAAGCGUUAAGUUAUCCACCUGGGGAGUACGGUCGCAAGAUUGAAACUCAAAGGAAUUGACGGGGGCCCGCACAAGCGGAGGAGCAUGUGGUUUAAUUCGAUGAUACGCGAGGAACCUUACCCGGGCUUGAAAGUUAGUGAAUGAUCCAGAGACGGAUCAGUCCUUUCGGGACACGAAACUAGGUGCUGCAUGGCUGUCGUC
rnacentral:rRNA from 1 species